rnacentral:rRNA from 1 species
UACGUAGGGCGCAAGCGUUGUCCGGAAUUAUUGGGCGUAAAGAGCUCGUAGGCGGCCUGUUGCGUCCGCUGUGAAAUCCCGGGGCUCAACCCCGGGCCUGCAGUGGGUACGGGCUGGCUAGAGGCAGGCAGGGGAGAACGGAAUUCCUGGUGUAGCGGUGAAAUGCGCAGAUAUCAGGAGGAACACCGGUGGCGAAGGCGGUUCUCUGGGCCUGUACUGACGCUGAGGAGCGAAAGCGUGGGGAGCAAACAGG